ACUUCACACGAAGCGCCGGGCGCACGUUUGUUCUUGGAAAAAACCGUCGACCCACCUGAGACAUAAGGCUUGGGCGUACGCGCGCCGGGCGCACAGUACAUGUCACCUCUAGCACCAGGGGAGAGAAGAAAAGUCGGCUGAGUUCAGCUCCAUUGUCGUCGUCGUCGUCCUCCUCCUUCUUCUAGUCAGAGCUGAACUUCUCUGAUUCUCUAAUGGAAGUUUAAUCGAACACUGCAUCUUAACAUUCAAUCCUCUCCUGAUUCCCGUCCGCAGCUCCGACCGGGCCGUAGCAACAGUUUCCUGGCGUAGCCAUGCUGGUGAGCCGGGAAAACGAGGAAUGAUAAGGAGGCGAAGGUUACGCUGCUGAGCUUCCAUUGGUAGGGGGGAAGGAGUGCGGAGAGACGAACCCGGUGUGGAGAGAGAGAAUGCGAACGCUUUGCGACGUCUGCGAGAGCGCCGCCGCGAUCCUCUUCUGCGCAGCAGACGAGGCCGCCCUGUGCCGCGCCUGCGAUGAAAAGGUGCACUUGUGUAACAAGCUAGCUAAUCGACAUGUUCGGGUUGGGCUAGCUGAUCCCAGCGAUGUCCCUCACUGUGACAUUUGUGAAAAUGCACCUGCCUUCUUUUACUGUGAGGUAGAUGGUACUUCACUUUGCCUGCAAUGCGAUAUGAUUGUUCAUGUUGGUGGUAAGAGAACUCAUGGAAGAUACCUCUUGCUGAGGCAGAGAAUUGAGUUUCCGGGGGACAAACCCAGUCGCUUGGAAGAAACUGGGUUGCAAACUCUUGAUCAAAAUGAUUUAAAGAGAGAACAGAACCAGCUGCCUGAGCUUAAAACUAGAGAGAGUCAGCAAAAUCACCGGGUAUCACCAAUUCAAGAGAGCGAGACAGGUGCUCCAGCUGAUGGCACGAUGGGCAAUAAAUUAAUCGACCUGAACUCAAGGCCUCGAAGGAUUCAUGGACAAACAUCAACUAACCAGUUCUCUUUGGAAGAAACAGGAUAUGGAUAUUGUGAAUGGCUUAAACCAUGAAUCGGUGAGCAUUGUCCCUGUUGGAUCUUUUAAAAGAGAGCCCGAAAAGUGAGCAAGAUGACAUGGCACCACAAUCAGCCCUCUCACCCUUUUGACUACUCUGGACCUACUUGGGGCAUUCAUCUGGUUCCGUGGCUUGGGUUUUCAAUUCGAUCAUUUCCUUUGCACAGAGUUUUACUUGGUGGAACAUUUCUUUCUCAUUGAAUGUAUUGAAAGUGAUGAAGAAAUCUUGCUUAGAAUAGCACAUCAAUGAUAUAACUAGCAGGAUAUAAUGCGCUAGCAUUUUCAGAUCCUAACUGUAUCCUUCACAGCUAUCAGUCAAAAAAUUUACUCUCUUUAAUUUCGCUCUA